CGCAAGAGAGUGAGGAACAUUCCUGGACCGUGUCCAGAAGCGAUCUGAAUUCCUCGCCGAGGAAAUUCCAACCAGGUUGUCAUUCCACGAUCUCAAGUUAACGAUCGGUGGGACGGGUCGAUUCUUUAUUUCACGUAUGGAAGGGUCGACCCUCUUUUCUCGGCUUUGACGCAACGGAUAUCUUUGAACUGGAUUUCUUAAACGAUUUUUACCUCUGGUUGACUAGACACUUUCACGUAUCGAGGCAAAGGAUAAGAUAUGAAGAUAGAUAGAUGGUUUGAGAGCAAAGGGUGGAAGAUUGAAGAAAAACUGAAUGAUUUGUGAGUAAUUUUUUCAUAUUGAAUUAUUUUAAUUAAUUGAAAUAUGAUUGAUUUAGAAGAUUUAUUAUUAAUUGAUUUGUUCUUGAAUUGCAGAUGUUGUUUAUUGAAAUUUUUAUGUAUGAAUGAAAUAAGCUAAUUAUAUAUAGAUAGUGGAUUGUGAUGCGUUUAAGAAUAAAGGAAGGAUGAUUUUGAGAUAUUGGCAAUAAUAUUAAUUUAGUUUUGAUAUAUUUAGAUUGAUAAUUUUAGUAUAAUUGUGUUUUGAGAUUUUUAUGUGUAGAAAAAAAAUUAUUGUAUGAAAAUAGAAAAGCAGAAGAUAUUAUGCAACAAAGAAUGGAAGAUUUUGAAAAAUAUAUAUUUGUUAUGAAUGUAUGAAUGGAAGAUAAUGCUUGUAAAUAUCCAAAUUUUUUGAAUUGAUUCAUUGAAAUUUAUUGAACAAGGAUGAAAUAAUUGAAUAAAGCUCUACUUUUCUAUUUUCAUUUAUUAAGAAAAAAUCACUCAAGUCAAGAGAUUAAUGAAGUACUUGGAAUUUAGAUAAAACCAGAUAUAUAGAAGUAUAUAUAGAAGAAUAA